rnacentral:rRNA from 1 species
GGGUUGUGAGGUUAAGCGACUAAGCGUACACGGUGGAUGCCCUGGCAGUCAGAGGCGAUGAAGGACGUGCUAAUCUGCGAAAAGCGUCGGUAAGGUGAUAUGAACCGUUAUAACCGGCGAUGUCCGAAUGGGGAAACCCAGUGCAAUUCGUUGCACUAUCGUUAACUGAAUACAUAGGUUAACGAGGCGAACCGGGGGAACUGAAACAUCUAAGUACCCCGAGGAAAAGAAAUCAACCGAGAUUCCCCCAGUAGCGGCGAGCGAACGGGGAGCAGCCCAGAGUCUGAAUCAGCUUGUGUGUUAGUGGAACGGUCUGGAAAGUCCGACGGUACAGGGUGAUAGUCCCGUACACCAAAAUGCACAGGCUGUGAACUCGAAGAGUAGGGCGGGACACGUGGUAUCCUGUCUGAAUAUGGGGGGACCAUCCUCCAAGGCUAAAUACUCCUGACUGACCGAUAGUGAACCAGUACCGUGAGGGAAAGGCGAAAAGAACCCCGGCGAGGGGAGUGAAAAAGAACCUGAAACCGUGUACGUACAAGCAGUGGGAGCACCUUCGGGUGUGACUGCGUACCUUUUGUAUAAUGGGUCAGCGACUUAUAUUCUGUAGCAAGGUUAACCGUAUAGGGGAGCCGCAGGGAAACCGAGUCUUAACUGGGCGUUAAGUUGCAGGGUAUAGACCCGAAACCCGGUGAUCUAGCCAUGGGCAGGUUGAAGGUUGGGUAACACUAACUGGAGGACCGAACCGACUAAUGUUGAAAAAUUAGCGGAUGACUUGUGGCUGGGGGUGAAAGGCCAAUCAAACCGGGAGAUAGCUGGUUCUCCCCGAAAGCUAUUUAGGUAGCGCCUCGUGAACUCAUCUUCGGGGGUAGAGCACUGUUUCGGCUAGGGGGUCAUCCCGACUUACCAACCCGAUGCAAACUACGAAUACCGAAGAAUGUUAUCACGGGAGACACACGGCGGGUGCUAACGUCCGUCGUGAAGAGGGAAACAACCCAGACCGCCAGCUAAGGUCCCAAAGUCAUGGUUAAGUGGGAAACGAUGUGGGAAGGCACAGACAGCCAGGAUGUUGGCUUAGAAGCAGCCAUCAUUUAAAGAAAGCGUAAUAGCUCACUGGUCGAGUCGGCCUGCGCGGAAGAUGUAACGGGGCUAAACCAUGCACCGAAGCUGCGGCAGCGACACUAUGUGUUGUUGGGUAGGGGAGCGUUCUGUAAGCCUGCGAAGGUGUGCUGUGAGGCAUGCUGGAGGUAUCAGAAGUGCGAAUGCUGACAUAAGUAACGAUAAAGCGGGUGAAAAGCCCGCUCGCCGGAAGACCAAGGGUUCCUGUCCAACGUUAAUCGGGGCAGGGUGAGUCGACCCCUAAGGCGAGGCCGAAAGGCGUAGUCGAUGGGAAACAGGUUAAUAUUCCUGUACUUGGUGUUACUGCGAAGGGGGACGGAGAAGGCUAUGUUAGCCGGGCGACGGUUGUCCCGGUUUAAGCAUGUAGGCUGAUUGUCCAGGCAAAUCCGGAUAAUCAAGGCUGAGGUGUGAUGACGAGGCACUACGGUGCUGAAGUAACAAAUGCCCUGCUUCCAGGAAAAGCCUCUAAGCAUCAGGUAACAUCAAAUCGUACCCCAAACCGACACAGGUGGUCAGGUAGAGAAUACCAAGGCGCUUGAGAGAACUCGGGUGAAGGAACUAGGCAAAAUGGUGCCGUAACUUCGGGAGAAGGCACGCUGGUGUGUAGGUGAAGUCCCUGCGGAUGGAGCUGAGACCAGUCGAAGAUACCAGCUGGCUGCAACUGUUUAUUAAAAACACAGCACUGUGCAAACACGAAAGUGGACGUAUACGGUGUGACGCCUGCCCGGUGCCGGAAGGUUAAUUGAUGGGGUUAUCCGUAAGGAGAAGCUCUUGAUCGAAGCCCCGGUAAACGGCGGCCGUAACUAUAACGGUCCUAAGGUAGCGAAAUUCCUUGUCGGGUAAGUUCCGACCUGCACGAAUGGCGUAAUGAUGGCCAGGCUGUCUCCACCCGAGACUCAGUGAAAUUGAACUCGCUGUGAAGAUGCAGUGUACCCGCGGCAAGACGGAAAGACCCCGUGAACCUUUACUAUAGCUUGACACUGAACAUUGAGCCUUGAUGUGUAGGAUAGGUGGGAGGCUUUGAAGCGUGGACGCCAGUCUGCGUGGAGCCAACCUUGAAAUACCACCCUUUAAUGUUUGAUGUUCUAACGUUGGCCCCUGACCGGGGUUGCGGACAGUGUCUGGUGGGUAGUUUGACUGGGGCGGUCUCCUCCCAAAGCGUAACGGAGGAGCACGAAGGUUAGCUAAUCCUGGUCGGACAUCAGGAGGUUAGUGCAAUGGCAUAAGCUAGCUUGACUGCGAGCGUGACGGCGCGAGCAGGUGCGAAAGCAGGUCAUAGUGAUCCGGUGGUUCUGAAUGGAAGGGCCAUCGCUCAACGGAUAAAAGGUACUCCGGGGAUAACAGGCUGAUACCGCCCAAGAGUUCAUAUCGACGGCGGUGUUUGGCACCUCGAUGUCGGCUCAUCACAUCCUGGGGCUGAAGUAGGUCCCAAGGGUAUGGCUGUUCGCCAUUUAAAGUGGUACGCGAGCUGGGUUUAGAACGUCGUGAGACAGUUCGGUCCCUAUCUGCCGUGGGCGCUGGAGAAUUGAGGGGGGCUGCUCCUAGUACGAGAGGACCGGAGUGGACGCAUCACUGGUGUUCGGGUUGUCAUGCCAAUGGCACUGCCCGGUAGCUAAAUGCGGAAGAGAUAAGUGCUGAAAGCAUCUAAGCACGAAACUUGCCCCGAGAUGAGUUCUCCCUGAGACUUUAAGUCUCCUGAAGGAACGUUAAAGACGAUGACGUUGAUAGGCCGGGUGUGUAAGCGCAGCGAUGCGUUGAGCUAACCGGUACUAAUGAACCGUGAGGCUUAACCUUACAACGCCGAAG